GAAUGCAGAAGUUAAAGUCCAUCACAUCGAUGUGUACUGAACCUCUGCUUCCUCUCUUUCGGAUACACGCUCCCUCCUUCAUUGGGGGGUGUCGGGUUCCGAAUCGUUUACUUUGAAAAAAUUAGAGUGUUCAAAGCAGGCGUAACCUGGCCUUGAAUAAAUUAGCAUGGAAUAAUAGAAUAGGGCUUUGGUCUUAUUUUGUUGGUUUCUAAGGCUGACGCA
rnacentral:rRNA from 1 species